GAGUUUGAUCGUGGCUCAGAUUGAACGCUGGCGGCAUGCCUUACACAUGCAAGUCGAACGGCAGCAUGAUCUAGCUUGCUAGAUUGAUGGCGAGUGGCGAACGGGUGAGUAAUACAUCGGAACGUGCCCUGUAGUGGGGAUAACUAGUCGAAAGAUUAGCUAAUACCGCAUACGACCUGAGGGUGAAAGUGGGGGACCGCAAGGCCUCAUGCUAUAGGAGCGGCCGAUGUCUGAUUAGCUAGUUGGUGGGGUAAAGGCCCGACCAAGGCGACGAUCAGUAGCUGGUCUGAGAGGACGAUCAGCCACACUGGGACUGAGACACGGCCCAGACUCCUACGGGAGGCAGCAGUGGGGAAUUUUGGACAAUGGGCGAAAGCCUGAUCCAGCAAUGCCGCGUGUGUG
rnacentral:rRNA from 1 species